rnacentral:rRNA from 1 species
GAUCCUGGCUCAGAAUCAACGCUGGCGGCGUGCCUCAGACAUGCAAGUCGAACGAUUAAAGCCCUCUUCGGAGGGUGUAUAGAGUGGCGCACGGGUGAGUAACACGUAAGUAAUCUACCCUCGAGUGGGGAAUAACAGUCGGAAACGACUGCUAAUACCGCAUAAUGCAGCGGCACCGCAAGGUGACAGUUGUUAAAGAUUUAUUGCUUGAGGAGGAGCUUGCGGCAGAUUAGCUAGUUGGUAAGGUAAUGGCUUACCAAGGCAACGAUCUGUAGCCGGUCUAAGAGGACGGUCGGUCACACUGACACUGAAUAACGGGUCAGACUCCUACGGGAGGCAGCAGUCGGGAAUUUUGGGCAAUGGGCGAAAGCCUGACCCAGCAACGCCGCGUGAAGGAUGAAGUAUUUCGGUAUGUAAACUUCGAAAGAAUAGGAAGAAUAAAUGACGGUACUAUUUAUAAGGUCCGGCUAACUACGUGCCAGCAGCCGCGGUAAUACGUAGGGACCAAGCGUUGUUCGGAUUUACUGGGCGUAAAGGGCGCGUAGGCGGCAUGACAAGUCACUUGUGAAAUCUCCGGGCUUAACUCGGAACGGCCAAGUGAUACUGUCGCGCUAGAGUGCAGAAGGGGCAAUCGGAAUUCUUGGUGUAGCGGUGAAAUGCGUAGAUAUCAAGAGGAACACCUGAGGUGAA